GAUUACAGGCACCUGCCACCAUACCUGGCUAAUUUUUGUAUUUUUAGCCUUAAAAUCAUAAAAAUAAUCUGAUUAAAGUGCAGUUGUUUUAAUAGGAUAAAUGACUAUGAGGUAAUGAGACCUCUCUUUGUAUGACAGCACUUAGAAAUUUAAAAAAAUCUUCACUGCUAGAGCAGCCAAGGCAGCCCAUAAACUUAGGCUGCGCUUGUCCUGACACCUGUUUGAAACUAUUUUAUUUGGUUUCUUCAGAGAUGGUUUCAUACCCACAUGAGAAAAUUUGUUUUUUAUGUUAUGGUGAUAGCUCACUCUCCCUUUAACUAAUAUUGUUCUCUUUGCCCUGUCUUCCUUAUCACAUGGCUUAGCUCUGCCCGCUUCUCUUCAUUCAUGGCUGCUUAAGCUUCUGAUGGAUCUUGAAGGGAGUAGAUAAACUUUCUUUGUGACUUUGGAGCCAUCACAUUUGAUCUUUGGGCCUACUCCCCUCUCCUCAUCUACUGGGAUAAAUAUUAGUACUGAUCUACUUGUAAGACUUCUUUUUCCCAAGAAGAUAAUUAGGUUAUCUCUCUCCCUACCCCUCACCAAGAAAUCAAAAUAAAUUAGAACCUUCCUUUCAGUAUCCGAGAGUCUUUAAAGGUGUUUUAAACCACUAGAGGGAGCCCAUAUUGUUCUGAUUUCUGAAUCCUAUAAUGUUUCACAACUUGAUUUUAUUGCCUGUAGAAAAGGAUCUCUCUAACCAAUGACUGGAUCAGUACAUCCAUAACUGUAGUGAUCUCUUUUAGUUUGCCUCUUUUCUUUUUUUUCCCAAUAUUUUUAUUGUGGUAAAAUAUACAUAAUACAAAAUUUACUGUCUUGACCAUUUUUAAGUUUACAAUUCAGUGGUAUUAAAUAAAUUCAUAAUGUGCAACCACAGUCAUCAUCCAUCUUUAUAACUCUUUUCAUCUUGUAAAAUAGAAACUCUGUACCCAUUAAACAAUAACUCCUUAUUAUCCCCUCCACCUAGCUCCUGGAAACAGCACUUGUACUUUCUGUUUUUAUAAUUUUGACUAUACUAGGUAUUGGAUAUACAGUACUUGUCUUUUUGUGACCUAUUUCCUUUAACAUAAUGUCCUCAGGGUUCAUCCAUGCUGUUGCAUGUCAGAAUUCCCUUAGUUUUUAAGGCUGAAUAAUAUUCCAUUGCACAUAUGUACCGAAUUUUGCUUAUCCAUUCAUCUGUUGGUAAACACUUGUGGUGCAUCCACUUUUUAGCUGUUGUUUUAGUUCAUUUGUGUUGCUAUAAAGGAAUACCUGAGCCUGGGUAAUUUGUUUUUAAAAGAGGUUUAUUUGGCUCAUGGUUCUGCACACUGUACAAGAAGUGUAGCCCAAGCAUCUCCAUCUGGUGAGGGCCUCUGCUGCAUAGUCCAGACUACAAAGUAGAGGGAAGGAAAUGGCUGGUUUCCUCUGUGCCAUGCUUCGGACUUGGAAUCUUUUACCCAGGCUUUGAAAGCCACGGGAGUUGGUAUUUAUUCCCCACUCUUCUGUCCACAUGCCAUCCCAUCAGAGUUUCUGUUGCUUUCUAGAACACUGUGGGGGCAAGACUUUCCUACUGGCACAAUUGGUAGGUAACACUACCCUCAAGGGUUGUGGAAGGUUAAAGGGAGCUGGCGUGUAGAGAUCACAUGGUGAGAGAGGAAGCAAGAGGCGGGGAGGUGCCAGGGUUUUUUUUUUUAACAACCAGCUCUGGCAGGAACUAAUAGAGCGAGAACUCACUCAUCACAGCAAGGAUGUCACCAAGCCAUUCAUGAGGAAUUUGCGCCCAUGACCCAAACACUGCCCUUUAGGCACCAUCUCCAAUAUCAGGGAUCAAAUGUCUGGGGAAACAAAUAUACCUGGUAUAUUCUAUUUUAAAUAUGGUAAUUCUAUUUUUAAUUAUUUGAGGAACUUUCACACUGUUUUCCAUAGUGGCUGUGUAUCAUUUUACAUUUCCACCAGGAAUGCACAAGGAUUCCAUUUUCUCCGUAUUCUCACCAACGUGUGUUAUUUUCUGGUUUUGUUUGUUUGUUUAUAGUAGCCAUCCUAAUGGAUGUGAGGUAAGGAGAAAAUUGGAAAAUCACCAAACAGAGACCAUCAUUUAUACUAGUGUUUUUGUAUUCUGUGGCUCAGAAUGGGCUGUGGGUAGAGUAAUUUGAUCAUUUUUGAUAGCUCCUUGACUGGGGUCUAUGGCUAUCUUCCUCCCCUUCUCCAUAACGUUCCAUAUCACCUUCCACCACCUUUCUUUCCAGCAAUCCCUGGACAGAUUUAGUCCCAUUCAGCAGAAUAUCAGUUGUGUGUAGACGUUGUUAUACUGGGCUCUGUGGCAAAGUGGAAGGUGAAUAAUGAACUGUCCUUGUCGGGGUAACAAUCUUAGCCUUCAUUGCAUUCAGGGAAUGUAUUUUGGCUUCUUUCAACCUUUCUUCCCUUUGCUCUCCUCUCUCUACUAAGGAGCUUGACCUCAUGAUUUCUCAGAUCCCCUCCACUCCUUCAAAUUCUCUAGAUUUUUCAUUUAUCGAUCAGUGGAGUUGUUUUUGUAUUUUAUUGUCUUUUUAAAAUAUUGGGAAUUUAUAAGAUUUUACACUUCCUGCUAUAGUUUGAAUGUUUGUCCCACCAAAUCUCAUGUUGAAAUCUGAUCUGCAAUGUUGGAGGUAGUGCCUAAUGGGCAGUGUUUGGGUUAUGGGGGCAGAUCCCUCAUGAAUGGCUUGAUGCCAUCCUUGCUGAGAUAAGUGGUUGU